CAUUCCCUACAAGUUCCCUACAUGAAUUGCAUAAUAGAGAUACAAGCAAGAAUCAUUAACUUCUAUGAAAAACAUAAGCAUUGACGAGGCACUCGUUACUAUGAUUUGCAUGAAACUUAUGCCAAGAAUUUACUUAACGUGAUUGUGACUAGCAAUCUUCACUACUUGUGAAUAUAAGUUCAUAACGAUUAGGUGAAACUCCCUUAUAUUCUAGCAUCGAAUUCAUGCAUGAAAAUUAAGCGUGCACUCUCAACCAACAUACACAAAUAAGUUUUUAUACGAACGGAUAAGUAAAUUGAAUUCACAACUUAUAAAUCACAACUGGAUGUAAUCAAUUCAUAUUACAAAUAUAUUCAUGGCUUUGAAUUAACCUCUAGCCAAAAUUAAUUUAGUUACACAUUAUUAUAACAUUUAACCAAAAGUAAAAUAUAAGUUGGAAAGUUUUAACCGAAAGAGGAGAAGCUUGCUGCUUCUGUUUCUGUCCGUGCUCUUUGAACCCCUGCUGAGGCUCACGCUGCUCCUGCCUUCUCUCUCUGUCCUCUCGCGCAAAGCAGCUCCUCGCAAGUCUCCCCGCAAGUCUCCGUGUUCUGCCAGUCACGCUGCCAAAGGCAGCUUGUGACCUCCCCCCAGCUCUUUCCAAUUCCCCCUCUUAUAUUUCCUCUUCUUCGCACCUCACUGCACGUGUUCUCGCUCACGCUGCCAAGGGCAGCUGUCUCCCUGACUCUCCCUCUAUCCCCGCUGCCCAAAGGCAGCCUUUUACAGACCCUUUUGCGUCUCAUUGGCCUCCCCCUUUAUUUCCUGCUUUUCUGAGCUGCCAAAGGCAGCUAUUCUUUUUAUUUUAUUCUUUUCUCUUUUUCUCUGGCCAGCUGCAAAGGCAGCCCUUUCCAUCCCCUUUCACGUUGUAAACCAGCUGCUCCGUCUGGGCUGCCAAGACAGCCCACUGCUGUCCUCUCACAUGAGUUACUCUAGCUGCCAAAAGCAGCUCUUUUAUUUCUUUAUAAUUUUUCAAGUUGCUAAGGCAGCUUCCUGCCUUUUUAAUUUAUGCCGCUGCCCAUGUUUGGAUUCCUUCAUUUCCAGCUGCAAAGCAGCUUCCUUUUCUCUAUAUUCUCCUCCCGAUGUUCUUUAAGACUUUCAGUAUAUAAUCCCACUGACUGCAAACUCUGAAUAAAGAGAUACUGCAUGCAAAUUUCACACAAACAUGUCAAAAAUGAGUUUUUCAUUAAAUUACUUUUCAGUUUAUGUUUUUGGCUAGAUAGGAAAGACGUUAAUUACUCUAUGUACUUAUUUUCAGCUUAUUUUAAUGGAAUACAAUUUUGACGAAGUUAUUACAUAAAAUUUCACUUAUUCUAUUUUUAUUUUCUUUGCAUAACAAAUCCUAUAAACACAAAAAUAACGUAAAUAGCUCAAAAAUAUAAGGAACUAACUAAGAAAAGACGAGUGAAUUUGAAGUAAAAAUAUAUAUAAAUAUGAUCCGAUCAAUACCCCCAUACUUAGCUUUUGCUAGUCCUCGAGCAAAACAAAGAAAACAUGAAAAAGUACUAACAUGAAAAACAUUAGUUUCCCCCUAUGUGACCCUCAUAGAAUUUUAUUUGAGAACACAAAUCAUCAAGAACCAUAUCUAGCACCAAACAAGUUAAUCCAAGUUCAUCUUCCUUAUUCAAAUAUUAGCAGUAAUCUUUGAAUCAUCCUUGAAGUGUAGUGUGUGAGAUAGUCAUGCUAAUGCAAUUUCAAGUUUUUAUUUUUAAAAUCAUCAUAUGCAAACUAGUAACCUUCUCACGGGAUAUACACUCAAUCACAUAUGUGUUUAGUUUUAAUGUGUUUCACUCAAAGAAUCAAAUGUGAAAUUUCUACCAUAAGCUUGCAUAAAGAUCACUUCUCCACAAUCAUAAUUGCAAAACUUAAAUCAAGAGGACUUUUAUUGGAUGUAAUGAGGUUUAGGGAGAGGGUUAUUGAAACGAAAGAAUAGGAAAACACAAGUUCCAAGCUACAUUGCAAGCAAUUCUUUUGUUUAGAUUUAUAAGAACUCAAUAUUUCCAGCGAUUCUUCUAGCACCUCCAACCACACCCUUAACUGAAACUUGAAAAACUUUUUAUUUUCUUCGUAUACAAUUUUUUUUUUUUUUUUUUUUUUUUUCAAACAUGAAAUACCUCCACACUUAUUCUUUUGCCAAACACCUUCAAAGUACUUCACAAACGUUUCUCAUAAGACAAUCUUGCAUUGCUCGCUAGCUUGCUUGGAAAGGGUAAGGAAAAAAAUUUCAGGCAUAAGGGUAGACAUAUCUGGUGAUAAGAAAUAAAAGGCUCAACAAACACGGCUCAAAUUGGCAAUCUAAUGAUAUCAUUUUUCUUUGGGAAAACAUGGUUAUUUGGGCCAUAGUGGUAAACCUAAUGCCUCUAUCAUUUCCAAGUUCAUGCAAUCAAUGACAAACAUUUCGAAAGAUCGUUAUGCAAGUUCUAGAGACAUCUCACAUAAGUUCAUCACACAUGAAAGAAUAGGAGUGUAUGAAAAAUGCACACACUUUCAAUAGGCUCAAAAACUCACAUAGGAUAUAUAUGGUCACUAAAUUCACAUAUGAAGCUUUAAGUCAUACUUUAGUUUCACAUUAACAAGGCUAUGUGCAUUUGGUUUUUCAAAGAUGAUCAAACAUGUACAAAACUAACAAGAGAAUUAGGAAUUUCACAAAAAAAAACAUGUUAACUAAGUUCUUGAUAAUCAUGAUUCAAAUUUGAUCCAAUUAUAUCAUUGGGUCGGGAAACUAACAAAAAUCUAAUUCAAAACAAUAAGGAAAACAAGACAAUAUUUUUGGAUUUUUAAAUUUUUCGAUUUUUUUUUUUUUUAUAGAGAAAACAAAACAAAAAAAUAAAAAGCAACAACACAGAAACAAAUGAAACCAGUUCGAAGUUGAAGGUACAAAAAAUUUCAAUUUGGUCAUUUUUACCCUUUACCCCCAUACUUAAACUGGACAUUGUCCCCAAUGUCAGAAAACACUAUAAUGCAAAAAUAAACAAAAUAAACAAAAUAAAUAAAUAAAUAAAUAAAUAAAGCAAUUGGACUGAAAACUUCCCUAAUUUGCAGUAAAAUCAAGCGAUGACCCCCCAAGCUAAAAUUCUGCAAUCAACUUCAAGGGUGGAAAUAACCAAAAGUUCCUGCAAAGAAAAGAAAUAAUUCAGUUAAUGACGCAAGAAAAUGUAGAAAAAUGCAAACGAAAAAUUGAAAAUGAAAAUAAAAGAUAAUGAAUAGAACUAAUAGGUGAUCAUUGGUCGCUUGUUGACUUUCCACAGCUUUCCUCUUGAACUGAUUUGGAAUUCUGAGCGAGGAUUGCACAGUCUGCAUUCUUCUCUGCUUGUUUCCUCUGCAUGGCGGGCAGGCACAAGGUAGCUGUUUUGGUCUGAUUCUUUCUUCAAUCUUUCCAAGUGCCCACCUCUUGCUUUCUUUCUCCUUGUCCCUAGCUGAAUUGUCUCCACAUGCUUCGAGGUAUCAUUUUCACUUCCCUUACUGUCCCCCAGGUAGAUGUGGUAGACAAAGAGGAAGCACAAGAUGAUGAAGAUGAGUACUCGAGAGCAAGGCUAGGUAAGCAAUCAGGAAGGGGUUCCAGGCAGUUGGCUCCAGAUCGGAAGAUUUGAUACCAAAUGCUGGCUGAUUGCUCUCCUUCUCCUUGUCGGAAAACAAAGACAAGGAGAAGGACAUGGAGAAAGCAUGAUAUGAGAUACUCUUGCUUUCAACCUUUAUGAUAUGAAAUACUUUUGCUUUGAAUGGGUUGUUCGCAGGAGUAUCCCAAGGAAUGAGGAACACAGAGUGACUCGAAAGGAUUCUUUUGGGAAUGCAUUUUCGGAGAUGAAGAAGAGUUGAGAGGGUGUGCUGAGAGAGUGUGCUUUUGCUGUGGAAGGCGAAGGUAGAAACUUAUAGGACUUGUCUUCACAACCGGAACUGUUCUCUCACUCAUUGUCGGCAGCCGGUGGAUGGAUGAAUAGUACAAAUUACGCGCUUUCUGACAAAGCUGCCCGUAAUUUCCGCAAAGCUGCCAGUUGCAUGUGACAAAUGCUGACUAGGCUGAGAGAGACAGAUGGUUGGAAUCGGCACUUCGACAGACUGCCCGUGAUUUUCGCAGAGCUGAGUUUGCGUGUGACGGGUGACAACACGUCUGGACGAAUUGAUCUUGCGAAAUCCGGGGUUCGGCUCGUGGUUUAUGAGCAAGCCCAACUUUUAAGAAAUGAACGCCUCUUUUGAGAAAAGAAUCCGGCUUUUGAGAACGGAAACUCCUCUUUUGAGAAAAGAAUCCGGCUUUUGAGAAAGGUGCCCGACUCUUCGAUUUGCGAGAGGACGCCUCUUCAAUUUCUGAGGAGCGCCUCUUUGAAUUCUUCUUUUUAUAGAGGCGUUAAUUUUGUUCCACAACAUACUUGAGCUCCCUCCUGUAAACACUCCCUUCUUGCACUUCCGAAAUCUUGAUCAGUCCGAUCUCUUCUUUCUUCACCACCUCUGAAAAAUGUCUGGCCCUUCUGAUCGUCGUUUUGACUUGAACAUUGGUGAAGAGGCAGCUCCGCCUUCACCAGACAACAUAUGGCGGCCAUCCUUCAUAUCCCCUACCGGUCCUCUUACCGUUGGGGAUUCGGUGAUGAAAAAUGACAUGACCGCUGCAGUGGUGGCCCGGAACCUUGUCACUCCCAGAGAUAACAGACUGCUCGCUAGACGGUCUGAUGAAUUGGCGGUUAAGGAGUCUCUGGCUCUUAGCGUGCAGUGUGCGGGUUCUGUGUCCAACAUGGCCCAACGCCUAUUUGCUCGAACCCGUCACGUUGAAUCGUUGGUGGCUGAAAUACAGAGUCUUAAAGAGGAGAUUAGAGGACUCAAGCAUGAAAAUAAACAAUUGCACAAGCUUGCACACAAUUAUGCCACAAACAUGAAGAGGAAAAUUGACCAGCUGCAAGACACUGAUGGUCAAAUUUUACUUGAUCAUCGGAGGUUUGUGGGUUUGUUCCAACCGCAUCUUCCUUCGUCUUCUGGAGCGGCACCGCGUAGUGAAGCUCCAACUGAUCAACCUCUGCCGCCUCCUCCUUCUGUGGCCCCGCCGACUGCCGAAGCUCCGCCAACUACUGAAGCACCACCUGACCAAUGAAUGCUAUUAGUUUACACAUCAUUGUAAAAUAUUUUUAAGUUUAUGUUUUUUUUUUUUUUUUUUUUUUUUUUUUUUUUUUUUUAAUUAUAUGUAAAUUAAUGUAGAAAGACUUUGUUUAACCUGCCCCUACACUUAAACUAAAUAACACAAACUCACAGAAAUCAACCAAAUACACAACUAACUAAACAAAACAAAAUGAAAGCAGUAAAGAUAAGGGUGUAAGAAUGCAAAUCUAAUCGGAAAAAGAUUUGUUGAGCAAUUUCAAAAUCUCCCUUCGUUGAAUGCUUGGGUUGCCUCCCAAGAAGCGCUUGAUUUAACGUCUUUAGCCGGACGAAACUUUCCUUUAAACUCCCCUCGGCUCCAAAGCAUGGAAUUUAUCUUUUAAUGGGAGGUGAUACUUGAAAUGAUUCGGCAAUGGUUUAAAUUCAAGAGUGGGUGCCUGAAUCAUCAAAAUCAGAAAAAUGUUAGUAUAAAUAAAAAUUAAAAUUGGAGAAGAUGGCUUACUUUCUUUUUCCGACACAAACUCAAUGACAAACACCACAUUUUUGAACAUUUCCGGGACUUUGAACUUGGCCAGGUUUACUAUGAUGGUUGUGGCUUGUCCCGUGUCAUCAAACUCAACUGCUUUGGGCUUGAUUGUCUCAUGCAUAGCCUCUUGGAUGUAUUCUUGAUAUGCUUCAACCACUUCAUUUUCUUGAAUCCCUUUUCUUGGUGUGCAAGGUUCUUUGAACGUUUCAAUACCAUCGGGAACUUGUUUUGGUGCACCAAGAAUUGGGAUAUCACUUUGCACCUUUGGAAGAGCUUCCACAAUGUCUUUUUCACUCUCUUUGAUAUUUGGAAUCAAAAACCUGCAAGGACAAAGGACAUUCGGUGGAAUAAUGUUAGAAUGAAGUGAAUUUAGAACUUCCUCACCUGAGUUGGAUGACAUAGGGAUUUGAGGAGCUUGCAGCAAGAAUUCUUCUAAACUGCCCAGGUCGUCCUCCUCCUCUUCUGCUUGCAGCAGCAAUUCAUCCAUGUUCGGGUUGUGUUUGGAUGGUUCUGGGACAGCUUCAUCCUUCAUGUCACCUUCCAAAGUGAUGGCUUCAUCGAUUUCACUUUCUGCCUUUGAAUUUGCAAUGUUUGAGUUGGAAAGUUCACUUUGAUCUCGAAUCUGUGCCAUGAAUUCCACAAUCUGCCCAACUUGCAUCUCCAAUUCGUCCACUCUUUUGACUCGGUCUUGCAUCUCCUGGUUUCGAUUUUCUACUCCCUGAUUCAAAGAGGUGAGUAACUUAUUAAGUGUAUCAUUAUCCAAGGACGUACCUGAAUUGAAUUGGGUUGAUUGUUGUGGUGGUUGUGACGGCUCAUAUGGCCACUGAUAGAACUCUUCCGAUGGCGGCAAUUGUUCUUCUUUUCGUAAACCCUGCGCUACAGAAAUUAGUCCUUCAAGAAUUUCAUUAUAAUUCAUGGGCAUACUUUGAUUUGAUUGGAAUUGUUGUGGGGGAUGCUGUGGUGGCUGCAUAGGUCUUGAAUAGAACUCGUCUUGCUGCCAAUAUCCACCUUGUUGAAAUUGUUGAGGUUCAUCCCACAUAUAAUCUGAAUUACCUCUCCAAUCUGAAUUGUAAGCGUUGGAAAAUAUGUUGCCCCUUGAUUGGUUAUGGCCUUGAUAUCCCCAAACAUCUUCAUUUGUAUAAAAUUGAGGACUUUGAUAACCUUGCCCAUAGGGCACAUCAAAUGUAGGGACACUUGGCAAGGUGGUCCGUUCGGCAUUAUGAGUCAAUUGAGCAGUGAGCUGUGCCAAUUGAGCUUGAAUGGUCGCAAGUGCCAUGUCUCGCUCCAUUUGUACCUAAAAUCAAAGAAAGAAAAAUAAAUCAAAUAUCAAAAGUAAAAUACACAAACACCAAUAUAAACAUAAACAAAAAAAAACAAAAAUAAAGGGAUUAGCAAAGUUGCUAAUCCCCGGCAACGGCGCCAAAAUUUGAUGCGCAAAAUAACUUGACACACAAAUUAAACCCUCUUUUUGACAAUUGUAGUAUAGAUGUAAGUAGGGUAUCGUUCUAGGCCGGGGAUUAGGAGGGAUUGCUAAUCUAUUCUAAAUUAAUUUAAAAAUAUUAAACAAGACUCAAGGACACAAAACUAGGCUAAAAACUCUAAUAACUCGAAACACACUUAGAAUGACUCAAAAUAAUGAAAACAAUCAAAUUAAACACUAGGAAUUGAAAUGGACGGAAAUUGAAUUAAAAGACUAACAACAAUGAAAACUAAUUAAAUAAUAUAAUUUAAUAAUGGGAGGGUUUGGUUUUGACGAGAAGUAAAUUAACUUAAAUAAAUUACAGAAUUGACAAAAGCAUGAAAUUAAGGUGAAAGGAUAGGUGACAAACUAGCUAGAGGGUUCUUCUCCACACAUGACACAUAUGCAACCUAAAUUGAUUUUCAGUUGUUCUUUCAAUAAAUUGUAAAUCUCAACGCCCCCAAAUUAACCGUGAAUUGCACUAAUUAACCCUCAGUUUUUCCACAAGUUAUUGGGUUGGAUGAUUGCAUACGACAAACCCAAAACAUUCCCUACAAGUUCCCUACAUGAAUUGCAUAAUAGAGAUACAAGCAAGAAUCAUUAACUUCUAUGAAAAACAUAAGCAUUGACGAGGCACUCGUUACUAUGAUUUGCAUGAAACUUAUGCCAAGAAUUUACUUAACGUGAUUGUGACUAGCAAUCUUCACUACUUGUGAAUAUAAGUUCAUAACGAUUAGGUGAAACUCCCUUAUAUUCUAGCAUCGAAUUCAUGCAUGAAAAUUAAGCGUGCACUCUCAACCAACAUACACAAAUAAGUUUUUAUACGAACGGAUAAGUAAAAUUGAAUUCACAACUUAUAAAUCACAACUGGAUGUAAUCAAUUCAUAUUACAAAUAUAUUUCAUGGCUUUGAAUUAACCUCUAGCCAAAAUUAAUUUAGUUACACAUUAUUAUAACAUUUAACCAAAAGUAAAAUAUAAGUUGGAAAGUUUUAACCGAAAGAGGAGAAGCUUGCUGCUUCUGUUUCUGUCCGUGCUCUUUGAACCCCUGCUGAGGCUCAC
rnacentral:lncRNA from 1 species